ensembl:lncRNA
CGAUCCCCAACUCCACCCAGCGAACAGCCUGAAAAGGAAACGCACACCAAACACAGAGCACCCAAACCUCCUCUACGGCCCGUAAGGACGUAACAGUUAUGAAGACAGCCACAAUAAUAACUGAUUAGAAGCUACAUGUUACGGCAGGACACCGGUCACAUGACUGAAUAUUUAAAAAGCUGAAGUGAAAGUGCUCAGACCAAACUAGAACGGGGGAGUGAAUCUUUUCUUCAUUACGAAGAGGUCGACCAUGGAGCCCGAUGUGCUCUUCACCGAUAAAGAUGUGAAUGAAACAGAGAAAAAGGAAAUCAAGAAUUCUGGAGGUGGAGGCUGUUCGGAUGGAGAAAAAGUAGCUCAACAGGUUAACGUUAAACAGCAUGACAGUAAUUUCUGUACAAUGAGGGAACCUGUGGAACGUGAGAGCAUCAAUGCUGAAGAAGAGGAGCGCGCAAAAGGAGUUAAAAAAACUUGUGAAUUCAAAAAUGAUUCAGGAACAGGUGCCUCACUAGCAGAAGAAGGGACCAAUGAGGCUUUAACAUGGUCAGAUCUGCGUCCUGCUGGUCCAGUCCGUUUCAGCAGCGUGAGGUCCGAUUCUGUCGUUCUGAACUGGGAAGCUCCUGCAGGACUGACUGGAAACCAGAAGUUUAUGGUGAAGUGGGAGCAGAAACAGAAACUGGUUUCAGGUUCAAGUGCUGAGAUCCAGGAACUCACACCAGGAGAAGAAUAUGAAUUUACAGUAGAACCUGAAUAUGGGAACCAGAGUCCAUAUCACACCACAUCCGCAAUAAGAGGAAAAAUCCGUCUUCCUCUUGUGAUCAAUUUCAAAUUGGAGAACACCUCCAUGUGUGUGCAGUGUGAAGAUUCUGAACAUCUAAGCAGGCAUCAAAAAUUCAAACUCAGUUGGGGAAAGAAGGGGAAACUGAAGUGUGUGGACAUUCCAGGCUUAAAUACUGAGUUUCAGAAUGUUGAACCAGGAGAGGAACAUGAAUUUACUGUCUACAUGCUCAGUGAUGACGACAAACCAAUUAUGUCUGCAUCAAGAAAUGUAUUGACAGAAAUCCCCCCUCCUGUAGAUGUGAAGUUGUGCUCUGAUGAUGGAACUGUCUCAGUGUCAUGGAAGAAACCUGCAGGACUGAACGCUGCAUCGUACCUCGUCUCCUUGUACAGUAAUAAGAUGCCGAUGAAGAGUUUAUACACCCAGUCUCAGAACUGUUCUUUCCAACUUCAACCUGACAAGAAGCACAUGAUCAGCAUCGAGACUGUACUGAAAAAUGGCAAAAAGAGCAAACCUGUCGAAAUUACCCCCUAUAAAGGUCAGGUUCCUGCACCAGAGAAUCUUUCUGUGGAGGUGAACUCACCAUCAGUAUCAGUAACAUGGAGAAAACCACCAGGAGUAGAUCAGGUCUCAUACCUGCUGUCCUACGGAAGUAAAGGAGAAGAAGAACAGACCAUUUCUACAGAGUCUCUCCAAUAUUCUCUAGAUGAUCUACGGUUUUGUUCAGAGUACAAGAUCAGGGUCUGUACUGUACUGAACAACCUUCACCACAGUAAACCUGUCUACAAGAACAUCAGGACAGGUAAGAAAAUUAAUUUGUGCAAAUGCAACAAAAUGAAGCCUUCUACACUUAAAGAUUGGUUAUCUGCUCAAAAUGAACAAUGGAGUCAAUUUUGAAAAGU